rnacentral:rRNA from 1 species
UUGCUCACACUUUCCAUAUGAAGCUGGGAGCGUUUGCCAGUUGGACGCCCGAAGACCGUGAAGUACGAUGAUUGGGACGACAAAGGCGACCCACUACGGCGACCCACUUGGGCUUACAAGUGGGAUGUGUUAAAUGAGACGACAUAUGAUCCCUCGGUCAUGUACAAGUUGUACCAGAGCGAGCUUGACGCGAUCACGCCUGAGCAGGUGAAUCGAGAGCCUGUAAGCGAUGAACUCACAUUGUUGGACGCUCAUUGUUGGAAGUGUGGAUAUUGA